GCCUCUGUAGCUCAGUGGCAGUGCAAUGGUCUUGUGAAACAAGGGUCGUGAGUUAAAUCCUCACAGGAAGCA